AGAGUUUGAUCAUGGCUCAGGAUGAACGCUAGCUACAGGCUUAACACAUGCAAGUCGAGGGGAAACGACAUCGAAAGCUUGCUUUUGAUGGGCGCCGACCGGCGCACGGGUGAGUAACGCGUAUCCAACCUGCCCACCACUUGGGGAUAACCUUGCGAAAGUAAGACUAAUACCCAAUGACGUCUCUAGAAGACAUCUGAAAGAGAUUAAAGAUUUAUCGGUGAUGGAUGGGGAUGCGUCUGAUUAGCUUGUUGGCGGGUAACGCCACAAGGCGACGAUCAGUAGGGGUUCUGAGAGGAACGGUCCCCCACAUUGGAACUGAGACACGGUCCAAACUCCGUACGGGAGGCA
rnacentral:rRNA from 1 species